rnacentral:snoRNA from 1 species
AUCCUUUUGUAGUUCAUAAGCAUGAUGACUGAGUAUGAGCGCCUUGUCUGCCUUGAACCUUAUGACCUUGGCACAUUACCCAUCUGAUA